UGUUCGCGGUCACUUUGCCAUCAGACAAGCGCAUGAUCCACGGUUGCUGCAAAGUUUUACGUGAUCGGAACUGUGUAAGAUAUUUUGGUAUCUGGAGUCGAACAUAAAGGUACGUCGAUGGCAGAUCGAGGUAAAUAUAACGCGUAGAAUAAUUCUAAUUGUCAAAUUGGUUGUACAAAUUGGUUAUACCGGUUUGUUUUCGUUACCAUAAAUUGGCGGCAAGUACGAAUGGACGAUGCAGCAGGAGAACGAUGACGAGAAGCAGAACGACUAACGAGGAGAAGAAAAAGGGCGUUUAAUCGCUGAUAAUGAGGAAACGUAUAAUCUCGUUGGUUGGGUGCGAGCGUGGAAGAAAAAGUGUGAAACGAAGAAAGGGCAGGACGAAGUAGCGUGCGAAUGUGUAAAUAAGAUGUGUAAAUAAAAUUGUUUAGGAAUGUAAAGCGUUUUGCGUAAAGCAGGUAAUGAUAAAAGCGUAAAAGUAUAGGAUGAAAAGACGUGGUAUGUAAUAAAGAUGCGCAAAUAAAAUAAGCGCGUAUCUAAUCUGGAUGUGCGAAAGGUAAUAGCGACGUUAAUUUGGUGUGAGAUUUUGUCGAAAUAUGGGCUAGUUUUGUGAAAAUUAUAAAAUGUGUAAAAAGAUCGUAGACGUUAGAGGCGUGAAAGUUGAAAGAAGUAAGAAAGGAAUAAAAAGAGAGUAUAAAAUGAUAAUAGGCAAUACGUAAGGCAAUAUAAUUGUCUGGAUGGUAGAAGAGGGGAUUUAUUUGGAUUCUAAGAGACUAAAGAAUAAGUAAAGAUACAUUUAGGAGAUAUAUGUGUGCAUCGUUUAUUCGACCCUUGAACACAAAUUGUGAAAUUCGGCUUCAAAACAAUAGACGACAGAUGGAGUAGUUUUGAAAGGUUAAUAAUAUGGUUGCUUUAAGAAAGGUGUAACUGUUGAACGUACAAUGGAAUCGGGCAAUCUAAUAGAACACCAUUACGAAAGGUAGUAAUUGUAAUAUGGAAAUAUAUUAGUCGGAAAGAAUCUUGUUCGAAGUUGGAAUCUUGUAAUUACACGGAUACCGUGUGGAAAGCGAUUGACGUUAAAUAAAUUCCACUUGAAGAAAUGAAACGUAUUAAUAUAUAAUAAUAUACGUAAUAAUAUAGAAUAGUAUUAAUGCUAGUAAUUAUAUAGAAUUAUAGGAAAUAUGGAGGUAAUUAGGGUGGAUUGCAACGGUGGAUGAGAAUUAUGGCGCAUUAUGGACACAAACAGGAAAGAAAAAUGUAUCCGUUGGAAGAAGGUUAAGUGGGAGGGAAUAGAAAGAGGAAAUUAUUGAAAAGCUUAAUGUUAUUUGAGAAAGAAAAGUUGGGGUUGAAGAAGAAAGAGAUGUAAUUGUUAUAAAAGAAAAAAAGAGCCGCGAUUGUGGAAGAAAUGGAUUAAGCAGAAAUAUAUGUUUAAGUGAGCGACACGUAAAAAACCCGGUUAGAUUGGUCUGCAGGAUGCGCAUCUUCUUAAUCCCCUAAGUUCAUGGCCUUCUUGCUCGCGGGUUUAGAAUCGGGGAUAUCCUGCGCCGAGCCUUCCUUGUUUCCUGCCGUGAACUCAUCGGUCGCGGGUUUGGUUCUGUAUAAAGAAAAACUUCGAAACGAAUUAAUCGUCGUGCGCAAUGUCUGUCGUGAUCAUGAGGGAUGUGAAACUUUUUAAAGAGUCUAAUUAAUCGUCAAUUGAAGUUGAUCUUGAGUUGAUAGGGCGAGAUCGGAGGAAUGAAAAUUGAAUAAAAUCUGACUUUCCAACGAAAAAUCAUUUUUCCAACCUCUCUGCGAUACUCGUCUUAGAAUGAGAAUGGAAACUAGUCAAUUUGAGAUGAAGAUAAAAAUGCGUCAGACUUUCGCCAGAUUCGAGAAUGAUCGUUACUCUUUCUCCGUCUUUCGUCUUUCGUUUAAUUUCUCGAUGGCCUAAUCGCAGCAAGCUGGAGUCCAUACUGAACGUGUAUCGUAGUUAUUAAUCGCGCCAUGUGAUUUGCCAGGAAUAACAUGAAAUAAAUUUUUAUUAAAAAA